UACGUAGGGUGCGAGCGUUAAUCGGAAUUACUGGGCGUAAAGUGUGCGCAGGCGGCAGAGCAAGUCGAGUGUGAAAGCCCCGGGCUUAACUUGGGAAUUGCGCUCGAAACUACUUUGCUGGAGUGUGGCAGAGGAAGGUGGAAUUCCACGUGUAGCGGUGAAAUGACGUAGAGAUGUGGAGGAACACCAAAUGGCGAAGGCAGCCUUCUGGGCCAACACGU
rnacentral:rRNA from 1 species